AACGAACGCUGGCGGCAUGCCUAACACAUGCAAGUCGAACGAGACCUUCGGGUCUAGUGGCGCACGGGUGCGUAACGCGUGGGAACCUGCCCUUAGGUUCGGAAUAACUCCCCGAAAGGGGUGCUAAUACCGGAUAAUGUCUUCGGACCAAAGAUUUAUCGCCUUUGGAUGGGCCCGCGUUGGAUUAGCUAGUUGGUAGGGUAAAAGCCUACCAAGGCGACGAUCCAUAGCUGGUCUGAGAGGAUGAUCAGCCACACUGGGACUGAGACACGGCCCAGACUCCGGGGGAAGGGAGGGGGGGGAAAUAUUGAAAAGGGGGCAAGGCUCUGACCAAGCAUUGCCGGGGGAGAAAGAAGGGCGUUGGGGUUGAAAAGCUUUUUUCCCCGGAAUGAUAAGGACAGGCGGGGGAAAAAAGGCCCCGGCAAACUCCGGC
rnacentral:rRNA from 1 species